UACCUCUCGGCACUCACCACCACCAGCCGUAGGGAUCCUCUCCACCUCUCUGCACUGACCAUUGCCGGCCGCACGACUCCACUCUGCCUCUCCGCACUCGCCGUCGUCUGCUACAAGACUUCCUUCCAUCUCUCCGUAUCAUAGGACCACAGCAAGAGUAAGCAAGCCCUUUGUUAACCACUCCACACUCUACAUCAAGCCAAAAGCUCAAAGCCAAAGGAAAUGCGAAUGGAGUUGUAUGGCUUGUGGUAUAUUUAUAGGCAAAAGGAUACAUAUAUAACGGACACUUCAGCAACUUGUGCACUUGCCUUCAAAUUACAUUCAAGCAUAUUAAAAUCUGAAUUUGGAGUCAUCAAAGAUUUUGCUGCUUGGAGUCCACUCUGCUUUGCAUCAUGACUAUAUUUGCAAGUAUUGCUAAAGUAAUUUCAAGCGAGGGUUCCAUAUUUGCUGGAAACUGACAAGGCUACAGUGGAAAUGGAGUGCAUGGAAGAAGGAUAUCUUGCCAAGAUAAUACAUGGAGAUGGGUCCAAAGAGAUAAAAGUUGGUGAG